CCCUUAGAUGUUCUGGGCCGCACGCGCGCUACACUGAUGCAUUCAACGAGCCUAUCCUUGACCGACAGGUCCGGGUAAUCUUUGAAUCUGCAUCGUGACGGGGAUAGAUUAUUGCAAUUAUUAAUCUUCAACGAGGACUGCCUAGUAGGCGCAAGUCAUCAGCUUGCGUCGAUUACGUCCCUGCCCUUUGUACACACCGCCCGUCGCUCCUACCGAUUGGGUGUGCUGGUGAAAUGUUCGGAUCGGCCGUUUGUCGCGGUUUCCGCGUCAUGUGGCUGAGAAGUUCAUUAAACCCUCCCACCUAGAGGAAGGAGAAGUCGUAACA
rnacentral:rRNA from 1 species